ACACCAUAUGGGACAAUCCUUACACGUUCCUUCUUCAGGAAGGCAGAUAAGCGUGUAAUGCUAACGUUUGACCUGUGAUUAUGACUCUGUCUAAUCAGGACUAGAAAUCUUGAUUGCUAUUACCUGAU